GCUAAGGUGGCAGAGCCUGGUAAAUGCAGAAAGCCUAAGCCUUUCGAUCAGAGGUUCAACUCCUCUCCUUAGCU
rnacentral:tRNA from 1 species